rnacentral:rRNA from 1 species
CCGUGUACGUACAAGCAGUGGGAGCACAGAGCAAUCUGUGUGACUGCGUACCUUUUGUAUAAUGGGUCAGCGACUUAUAUUCUGUAGCAAGGUUAACCGAAUAGGGGAGCCGAAGGGAAACCGAGUCUUAACUGGGCGUUAAGUUGCAGGGUAUAGACCCGAAACCCGGUGAUCUAGCCAUGGGCAGGUUGAAGGUUGGGUAACACUAACUGGAGGACCGAACCGACUAAUGUUGAAAAAUUAGCGGAUGACUUGUGGCUGGGGGUGAAAGGCCAAUCAAACCGGGAGAUAGCUGGUUCUCCCCGAAAGCUAUUUAGGUAGCGCCUCGUGAAUUCAUCUCCGGGGGUAGAGCACUGUUUCGGCAAGGGGGUCAUCCCGACUUACCAACCCGAUGCAAACUGCGAAUACCGGAGAAUGUUAUCACGGGAGACACACGGCGGGUGCUAACGUCCGUCGUGAAGAGGGAAACAACCCAGACCGCCAGCUAAGGUCCCAAAGUCAUGGUUAAGUGGGAAACGAUGUGGGAAGGCCCAGACAGCCAGGAUGUUGGCUUAGAAGCAGCCAUCAUUUAAAGAAAGCGUAAUAGCUCACUGGUCGAGUCGGCCUGCGCGGAAGAUGUAACGGGGCUAAACCAU